CCAGCCUCUCUUAUCACUUGUUAAUUACUCGGAAGGUCCUUCAUGGUUGUACUGAACAGUGGACCUUCUCCUGACACGCUGUUCUGGAGUGGCAGGAAUUCCAGGCCCUGGAGCCUUUUGGGAACUGAGAACUUGGUUACUUCUGCUCCAAGUUUUUUCGCUUCAUAACGAGCAACAGAAGUGCUAAAGCUUCGUGGCAAAUGACAUCCACUACACCUUUCAAACCUAAAGAGCAGGAC